GGAAUGUUGGGACACAUGUCGUGCAAAUGUAUCGUCAUGUACGGCAUUGUUUUUUUUUUAACCCUUCCUUUUCCUUUGUUCCCGCUUCACGCCAUUCCUGUAUUCCUCCAUUUUUGCACGCAAGUUCAUCAUCCCCACAGCCAUAACUUUGCUUCCUGUCCUGUCGUCAUGUACGGAAUUGUUUUUUCUCCCAUUCCCACAACGAUAACUUCGCUUCCUCUCUCUUUCUCUUGUGAUUUCUCCAUUUUCUCUCUCUCUUUCUUCCAAAGAGUUAAUUAGAAACUUAUUGUACCUAUAAACUUUCAUCUUGAUUGGCAAUAUGUGUGCUUCGACUUGGUUUCAAAAAACCUAUUACUAAUCCCGACAUUUAAGAAGGGAUUUAAUUUUCACGGCAUCACUCUUUCUAACUUUAGUUGUUAUUGUAUUGGAAAUGAAAUUAGGGGCGAACGAAAAUAAUGAUGGAGAAGAAAGUUUGUCUGCAAGAAAUGAGGUUGCUUGGAGAAAGAGUGGUUGCGUGCAAGAAGGAAUGGGGAGUUUAAAAAAAAUAAAAAAUAAAUAUAUGGCUCCGUGCGUUGUGCACGGAGCAGUUGCUUUGCUCUGUGCACAAUGCACGGAGCAACAUGCGAGCACAGAGCUAUACAUUUGAAUUUUUUUUUUCGUAACAAAAAAUGACUAUCUUUUUCUUUUUUUUUCUUUUUCCGUUCUAUCUUUUUCUUUUUUCCCUUUUUUUUUCCCAUUGUUGUUGGUAAAAAAAAAUAACAGAGACAUUCAUCGCCGUUCUUCUCUUAUUUUCUCUGUCUAACAAUUUUCUGUAAACUCUCUCACUACAUCAUAAACAGUAUCAUCAAAAUUGGCAGCUUCAUUUGCCGAUUUUAAGCUCCCAUAUCUUCUGCAACUUCUAUACAAUGAGAUGCAACAAGAACUGCUGCAGAUGCAAUUCCUGUACGUUUCUUAUUUUGGGCGGUUGCUUUUUCUGGAAAGGUCAUUUAUGAGGCUGCAAGGGCUGUGAAUAUUUGUAAACCCGUUAGUUGAAAAGGUGAGUUUUAAGGUUUUGGAAACAUACACACAAAGGAUCUAACUUCUUUUUAUAAUUUUUAUCUUGAUCCAUGUCUUAAUCUUCUUAUUCAUGUUCUGUCGCAUUUAUGCUACAAAGUCUACAGGCUC